rnacentral:rRNA from 1 species
AGAGUCCUUUCCUGGCUCAGGAUGAACGCCGGCGGUGUGCCUAAUACAUGCAAGUCGUACGCACUGGCCCAACUGAUUGAUGGUGCUUGCACCUGAUUGACGAUGGAUCACCAGUGAGUGGCGGACGGGUGAGUAACACGUAGGUAACCUGCCUCGGAGCGGGGGAUAACAUUUGGAAACAGAUGCUAAUACCGCAUAACAACAAAAGCCACAUGGCUUUUGUUUGAAAGAUGGCUUUGGCUAUCACUCUGGGAUGGACCUGCGGUGCAUUAGCUAGUUGGUAAGGUAACGGCUUACCAAGGCAAUGAUGCAUAGCCGAGUUGAGAGACUGAUCGGCCACAAUGGAACUGAGACACGGUCCAUACUCCUACGGGAGGCAGCAGUAGGGAAUCUUCCACAAUGGGCGCAAGCCUGAUGGAGCAACUCCGCGUUGAGUGAAGAAGGGUUUCGGCUCGUAAAGCUCUGUUGUUGGAGAAGAACGUGCGUGAGAGUAACUGUUCACGCAGUGACGGUAUCCAACCAGAAAGUCACGGCUAACUACGUGCCAGCAGCCGCGGUAAUACGUAGGUGGCAAGCGUUAUCUGGAUUUAUUGGGCGUAAAGCGAGCGCAGGCGGUUGCUUAGGUCUGAUGUGAAAGCCUUCGGCUUAACCGAAGAAGUGCAUCGGAAACCGGGCGACUUGAGUGCAGAAGAGGACAGUGGAACUCCAUGUGUAGCGGUGGAAUGCGUAGAUAUUUGGAAGAACACCAGUGGCGAAGGCGGCUGUCUGGUCUGCAACUGACGCUGAGGCUCGAAAGCAUGGGUAGCGAACAGGAUUAGAUACCCUGGUAGUCCAUGCCGUAAACGAUG